rnacentral:lncRNA from 1 species
AGAGAAUCCAAUCGAUGACUACAGCACCGAGUCUUCCUCUUCUAUCGGUGACUACAAAGCCGAGUCUACAUCUUCUUGCGAUUCGCCGUGUUUCUUCAUCUUGCUGCAAUUUGUACACCCUAAAAUAGAGAGGUACGUCAAUUCCAGAUUUGCUUCAGUUUAGGGUUUUUUCUUCUCUCAAAAUAAUUGUAGUACCUGUCGAUUUCUCAUUAUUUUGGUUUCAAUUCUUGGAUAUUUUCAACUAAAUAUUCUUUUCCUUCUUCCUGUGUGUACAAUUCUAUUUUUUAGUUGGUGGAAUCUCCCAAAAACCAGAAAAUUCGCACCGAAAUAGGAAACUGGCGACCUGAGGUGUGUGGAUUUAGUAUUUGCUUCAGUUUAGUGUUAUUUCUUGCUUCAUUUUUAACUUUUUCCUUUUUUGAAAUAUUCGUGUGGCCUCGUGUUCACACUACAAAUGAUUCAAACUGGUUAUGCAUUUUUCAUUCUAGAAAGUCUCCUUUCCACACUCACUGUUGAAUUUCAUCUCACACACGCUAGACUUUUGCUUUUGAGUCUCUCCCAAUUCUUUGAUAUCUUAGUUUGCUCUCCAUUUCCUAAGACUUUUACCUUUCCCAAUUUUUUUUCACAUCUUGCCUCCUCAGUUAUCAUUGAUGCCAAUGUAAACUGUAAAUAUGUUCUUUUUCAGCAAUUGCAUCCAUUAAUAUUAUCCUAACUUUGAACUGAAAUUUUCGUUUCUUCUUAUGUGUAUAGUGUCCAAUGUGUUCUCUGGUCGAUUAAAUCGAUGACUACAGUGUUGCAUUUUACCUUAGGUAAGUUGUUCGUGAUUUGUGUUUUUUAUUCCUCACUCUAUCUCCGAUCAGUUUUUGUUGAUUUUCUUCGGUUUCGUGUUGUGAAGUUUACGGGUGUGGUUAAAAGGUAAGCUGUUCUUUUCUCUUUUUGUUUAUAACAUGAAUCCUAUAAAUCUAAAUUUCUUCCAUAAUGUUUAUUUAGAUCUUCUGUGAAAAUUGUUAUCUUGUUCAUGUUCUAAAGUUUUUGUACCUUUUUUACUUCUCUUGGAACAUAAAUUGUAGCACCGUACCUUUUUAAAUUUUGAAAGUUAUAUGUUGUUCUUUAGAGGUUUAAAUUUUUAUUUUUAUUUUUUUUCCCUAGAAUCUGGAUUUGUAGUAAUGACUUGUUUGUUUAUUAAUUAUUAAUUCUAAGUACAAGAGUGUAAUCCAUGAGUUUGAUCCAUAUUUUAAUUAAAGAGACACCAAGGCAUGUUCUAACUCAUUGGAUUUUCUAGAACUGCAGAAUUUAAUUAUUUUACUCUUGUAAUCUUUGCUUAAGAAUUUCAUGACAAAUAUAUGUUCAUCUAUUUUCUGUUCUAUAAACAAUAAUUACAUGUAUUAUACUAUGGGAUACACACAUGGUGAAAAAGAGUUCUUCCAUUUAAACAGAUAGAGUAUAUAUUAUAGCCUAUUACAGAUUCUGUCAACACCAAUGGGUGAAAUUUUAAAUGUAAUAUAAAACAAAUGUCUAAUUCUUGCACCGUGCAAGAAAUUGAAUCAACUACUAAAGGAUUUAACCACUAAAGUGUGUGAAUUUGCGGGAGAUUAUAUUUUUAUUUUAUUUUUAUCUAGAGAGAGAAAAUACUCUUAGGAUUAAAGGAAAGCUAGAAACAUAUGUGGUCACUUCCCUUCCAAAAGAGGAAACGUAUGGUCACUUUUAACAAUUGCUGAAGUAGGUAAGCUUUGACAUGGAAGCAGUUGUCUAAUUUUGAUGGUUCGUGGACUCUUCAAAAUCAAGCCUUUUUCAAUUUUGCGUGCUUGGCACAAACCCUUUAAAAAUGUCCAAGAAAUUGCCGCUCCUUUAUGGGAAAUGAACUAGAGAACAUUAUAAUUUGGUGAAGGGAGAUAUCAAGCUGAGCUGGCGUGGUUAUUCGUAAGUUCUCUUUGUUACUUGUAUAUUGAAUUUGGCCUCUCCCUUUAUGUGUGGAUCUAUGCAAGUCCUAAUUGCUGUGCAUUUGCAGUUCAGCUGCCUCGUUUGCUUUAGACGGAGGUGAUUUUGUUGGGAUUCAUGGAAAUGGUGGUCGAGAUGGCAGAGGCAAUGGUGCGGCUGAGGGUGGAGAGUCAAAGUUGCGUUCCUAGGUGGCUAGAGUUGUCUAUUUUCUGAAUUUUUUUUUCUCGAUUCUUCUUCUUUUUUUCAAUUCAAUUUUGUAGAAAAAUUGAUUAAUAACAUAGGCCUCGAAUUUUGUUUUUUAAAAUUUUCUUAUGAGGAAU